UACGUAGGGUGCGAGCGUUGUCCGGAAUUAUUGGGCGUAAAGGGCUCGUAGGCGGUUUGUCGCGUCGGGAGUGAAAACCAGGUGCUUAACACCUGGCUUGCUUUCGAUACGGGCAGACUAGAGGUAUUCAGGGAGGAACGGAAUUCCUGGUGUAGCGGUGAAAUGACGCAGAUAUCAGGAGGAACACCGGUGGCGAAGGCGGUUCUCUGGGAAUGACCUGACGCUGAGGAGCGAAAGUGUGGGGAGCGAACAGG
rnacentral:rRNA from 1 species